rnacentral:lncRNA from 13 species
AUGUGGCUUUACUUACAUUCUCAGCAACACUGGACAUUUGGUAACCAGCUACUCCCUCAUUUCCCCAUUCAUUCAACGUGCCUCCAGCACAAUAGAUUUUCCAAACAUCAGUUUGCUUUGAGAGACAGUUUACUACACACAAUGGAAAGAAGGGGGGGGUCGGUCAACCUCCAUGAUGACUGUAGUAAUAAUGAACAAGUCACCAGCAGCAUAAGACAAAGCCGGGCAAGUUCAUUGUAACGGAAUUACGCUGAGACUCAGAUUUUUCCCUUUAAAAAUGUAUACUGAACAAAAACCAUUGAUUUCAAAGUUGAACAACCCAUAGAACUCUAUGCACAAGGGCUACAUUUAACAUUUACGCUGAAAAACACAUUUACAGGAAGAACUGUGCAGAUACAAAUGUUGGUUACCAAACAUUGCCUCUGCAGUUUUCCAGCGGAACAUUUAUUCAUUUAUUUACUGUCAAUUGUUCAAAGUUGUCAUUGUGCAUAGAGUUGUAUGCUUUGUUUAGCUUUGAAAUCAAUGUUUUUUGUUUGGUAUAGAUUUUAAAAGGUAAUAAUCUGAGUUUAAGCAUAAUUUCUGGUUCGUGGAAUUGCCCAGCUUGCAUUUAUAGGUGAACGCAUGCUUGCUAACAGGUGAAAAAUCUUCAUCACUGAGGGUCGGUAUAGGUCCCCCGGCCCCAGAUACACCAUAUUCAAGUAAUCAAAGUCCUUAUGGAAGAUGAGUCAUCAAUUGAUUACCUGGUCAGCCACUCUGUAGACCUUUGCCUUGUCACUGCAGUCACACAGGUAGUAGUGGACCCUAGUUGCCCCUUUCUCCUUCACUAGUGCAGUCUCCUUCAUGCCCUCCUGGUUGACAUCCCAAAGAACCAGACGGCCAUGAGCCAGCCAAUGCCUACCCCUGUGAUAAGGACGAUUUCCCCAGUGACAUUUUUCUUCUCAAGUCAGAUGAACGAUCUGACAAAUGCCUCCAUGUUGUAAUAGAUGGACAUUACAAUGAACAAAGGUUUCCAAGAGGACAUUCAUUUUGCUGACCCCUGGAAAGACUUCUGUUUGUUUUGGUUUAACUGUUGUAUGCUGGCAAAUUUGUUUGUGCUCCUUGGAGAUCCUAAUAAGCAAGAAACCCAAUGAAUAGAUUGCAGAUUAGCAUGAUUUGAUCUAAAAAGGUCAACGUUCAACUGAUAAUAUAUUCAUGAUUCAUGAAAUGUACUCAUGAAUCCACACGCCAAACACAACCUCAAUUCAGUGAUGUAGACAAACAUUUGGUGCACUGAAUGAUAGAAUAGAGCGAAUAAAAAGUAGCAAAUUAGGUCAACAUCAUUUCCGUAUUUGAAAAUGUAUCAAAAUGUAACCAAUGCAAAUUUACCUCAAUAGACAAUCAGCUCAACCUUGGAUAUUUUGUAUCGCCUCCUUUCAACACUGGACAUUCGGGUCUUUAAUCGACCUUUGCACUCCGCGGUGAAGCGCAUGGUAAUUAAUGCAAAAAAGCUACUCACUAAAACAGGAAUUUGUCUACUUACUUCUUGUUGACAUAUAACUAACUACCUUCUGCGUGGUUUCUUCGUUGCUUUUCCCGUCUUCAAGUGCCUGAACAGAGCAGCCGAGCAUACCCUAGAUUUGAUCUGGAGUCUCUAUGUAUGGUCACAUGACACCCAAUCAAAACUCGAGUAAGGAAUUAUGGGAUUUAGGAAUGUAUGUUUGUCAUUCAAAAGGUCCCGCAGGCUACAUUUUUAAACAUUCUUUAGAUGAUUUAUAUUUUUGCAUGUAAAAUUAAAACAGAUUUUGUUCCAUACAGAAAAUAAAUGACCAACUAGAUACAUACAUAAUCACAUGAUACAUAAGUAACAAUUAACAUUUUCUUUAAGCAUAUGCCUAAUGAGGGCUGACAAGACAUUCAAUUAAUAUGCAUUGAUUAAUGAAUUCCACUAAUAUUUUGACAUCUUCCUAUUUGACAUGACCAUAUAUAGAGCUUUGAUAGAUAUGAUAGAUAUUCAUCUAUACAUUUGAUGAAGGACUUAUCUAUAUGAUGUAUGCAUCUGCCAACAUUUUGGAAGUGAAAAUCUGUGGAUAUAGACUGAGUGUACAAAAAACUAUGAACACCUGCUCUUUCCAUGACCAGGUGAAUCCAGGUGAAAGCUAUGAUCCCUUAUUGAUGUCACUUGUCAGUGUAGAUGAAGGGAUGUUAAAGAAGGAUCUCUUCAACUCAAUAUUAGGAAGGUUUACUUAAUGUUCUCUACACUCAGUGUAGAUAUGGUGGUGCCUCUGAACAUUGAAACUAGAGAAAUUGAAGAUAUUAAUGAAUGUGGCAGAAUGGAGCGGGGCUAUCAAUCCCCUUUUGUAGAAAUCUAACUUGUGAAUCAUAUUGCAAAUACUGCCUUAUUGUUAUGAAGAGCAUUCUUCAUGUAGACCUCUAGGGGGGAUUAAGUUAAGCUAAAUAUCUAGCCAAGCUGUGAAGUUUUGGUACUGCGUGAAGUUGGGGGAGCUAAGAGACAACAUCCUAAGGGAAAUUGCCGUUAAUAUUUUGUGUUCACGUGAGCAAUGUGUACAAAAAUAUAGACAGGCCACAAAGCACCUACAUUUGCUUAAUAAAUCUCCCCCC